GGGGAUGUAGGCUAACCGGCAAACCAUCGGUCUCCAAAAUCGAGAUUCUCGGUUCAAAUCCGAGCGUCCCUGCCA
rnacentral:tRNA from 1 species